UCUGCCCUAGUUCAGGACAUCACAGUAGUGGACCAAUGCAUUGUGGGCUUGGGUUUAAGCAAUAAAGGUUUAGUCGUCGGCCUCAGUCCCCUAGUUGUGUGUGGGCCUCAGCUCCUUUACUAUUUAAUAGAGUUGUUUGAACUGUAUCAUUUCUUUGUCUGGUUAAGUUGACCUGUAGCCCAUUAGUUAGUAGAAGCCCAGAGGGGGGUCAGUAUUUGUAUUGUGUGGAGUAUGCACUUGUAAGAGCAUCCACAAUAGCUCAUGUAAAAUAUAUUUUUCUGUAAAAUAUAAAGAAAGUUUAUCAAAA